UCUCAAGUGUGUUUAUAUGUGAGCAACCAGUAUCUAGGGGACAGAAGCUGACGUACGAUGCAUCAAAGGGGCUCUGGCAAAGGCCUCACCUUUUGCCUGAUCACCAAUGGUCUUUGAUGGGGAGACCAGAAUUAGAUGAAUCUAUGGAGCCAGCUCUUGGAGACUUGCAAGAUGGUGUGAUGGAGUCCUGACCAACAGAAAGGCUUGGUACUGACAUCUCUGAAGGGAGAUAGACAUGGCACUCAACAGAUGCCCCAUAUGGGAUAGAAGAUGGAGAGGACUGUAUAUGCUUUGGUUAGAUGCCAGCCUUGGUCGUUUGAUGCUGAGACUAUAAUUGGAAACAUGUAGGGCGCCAGCACAAGGAGACUUGCAAGAUGGUGUGAUGAAGUCCAGACUGAUAGACAGGCUUCCUACUGUCGUCUCUGAAUAGAGAGAGACCUGGCACUCUGCAUUACAAUUUUACAAGACAACAUUUACUUGGUAUUUAAAAAAAUAUAUAUUAUUAUAGCAAGAACAGCUCAAAUAAGCAAAGAGAAAUGACAGUCAAUCCGGAAAAUGUCAAGAACUUUCUUCAAGUGCAGUCGGAAAAACCAUCAAGUGCUAUGAUGAAACUGGCUCUCAUGAGAACCACCACAGGAAAGGAAGACCCAGAGUUACCUCUGCUGCAGAGGAUAAGUUCAUUAGAGUUACCAGCCUCAAAAAUUUCAGCCCAAAUAAAUGUUUCACGAGUUCAAGUAACAGACACAUCUCAACAUCAACUGUUCAGAGGAGACUACGUGAAUCAGGCCUUCAUGGUCGAAUUGCUGCAACAACAAAAAAACUGUACUAAAGGGCACCAAUAAGAAGACUUACUUGGGCCAACGAACACAAGCAAUGGACAUUAGACCGGUGGAAAUCUGUCCUUUGGUCUGAUGAGUCCAAAUUUGAGAUCUUUGAUUCCAACCGCUGUGUCUUUGUGAGACACAGAGUAGGUGAAUGGAUGAUCUCUGCAUGUAUGGUUCCCACCGUGAAGCAUGGAGGAGGAGGUGUAAUAGUGUGGGGGUGCUUUUCUGGUGACACUGUCAGUGAUUUAUUUAGAAUUCAAGGCACACAACCAGCAUGGCUACCACAGUAUUCUGCAGAAAUACGCCAUCCCAUCUGGUGUGCGAUUAUCAUUUGUUUUUCAACAGGACAAUGACCCAACACACCUCCAGGCUGUGUAAGGGCUAUUUGAUCAAGAAGGGGAGUGAUGGAGUGCUGCAUCAGAUGAACUGGCCUCCACAAUCACUCGAGUUGGACCGCAGAGUGAAGAAAAAGCAGCCAACAAGUGCUCAGCAUAUGUGGGAACCCC
rnacentral:lncRNA from 1 species